rnacentral:tRNA from 1 species
AGGGGGUUGGCGAAGUCUGGCUCAACGCACUUGCCUUUGACGCAAGCAUACAUCGAUGGUUCGAAUCCAUCACCCCCUUCCA